rnacentral:rRNA from 1 species
UAGGGAAUCUUCCGCAAUGGACGCAAGUCUGACGGAGCAACUCCGCGUGAGUGAAGAAGGAUUUCGGUUCGUAAAACUCUGUUGUUAGAGAAGAACAGCGCAUAGAGUAACUGUUAUGCGUGUGACGGUAUCUAACCAGAAAGCCACGGCUAACUACGUGCCAGCAGCCGCGGUAAUACGUAGGUGGCAAGCGUUGUCCGGAUUUAUUGGGCGUAAAGCGAGCGCAGGCGGUCAAUUAAGUCUGAUGUGAAAGCCCCCGGCUCAACCGGGGAGGGUCAUUGGAAACUGGUUGAACUGAGUGCAGAAGAGGGGAGUGGAAUUCCAUGUGUAGCGGUAAAAGGCGUAGAUAUAUGGAGGAACACCAGUGGCGAAGGCGACUCUCUGGUCUGUAACUGACGCUGAGGCUCGAAAGCGUGGGUAGCAAACAGG